rnacentral:rRNA from 1 species
AUGAACAAGGAUGUGUUCGCGUGGGAGCCAAAGGAUCUGGUGGGGAUCCCAAGGGGAAUAAUUGAGCAUCACCUGACGGUGUGCCCUAACGCACGCCCGAUGAAGCAGAAGGCGCGACGGCAGUCCAUAGAGAAGCAGUCGUUCAUCAUCCAAGAGACCCGCAAACUGCAAGAGGCUGGUGUCAUUCGGGAGGUGCAGUACCCGGAAUGGCUGGCAAACCCGGUUAUUGCCCCCAAGAAAGGCGGGAAGGAGCAUAUGUGCGUCAAUUUUACCAACCUCGGCAAGGCUUGCCUUCAAGACCCCUUCCCUUUACCCUUUUUCUUGAAACUAGUGGUCUUGUUAACCAUCAACACUUGA